rnacentral:rRNA from 1 species
GGGGGGGGGGGGGGGGGGGCGGAGCGCGGGCAAGUCGGGCGCGCGGCAGGGGGGGGGGCCGCCGGGUGAGUACCGGGUGGGACGGUACCCUUACGUUCGGGAUAGCUCCGGGAAACUGGGAUUAAUACCGAAUGUGCCCUUUGGGGGAAUGAUUCAUCGGAUAAGGAUCGGCCCGCGUUGGAUUAGCUAGUUGGUGGGUUAAAUGCCUACCAAGGCGACGACCAAUAGCUGGUCUGAGAGGAUGAUCAGCCACAGUGGGACUGAGACACGGCCCAAACUCCUACGGGAGGAAGCAGGGGGGAAUAUUGGACGAUCGGCGCAAGCCUGAUCCAGCCAUGCUGCGUGAGUGAUGAAGGCCUUAGGGUUGUAAAGCUCUUUCACCGGAGAAGAUAAUGACGGUAUCCGGAGAAGAAGCCCCGGCUAACUUCGUG